rnacentral:rRNA from 1 species
GGGGAAUAUUGCGCAAUGGGCGAAAGCCUGACGCAGCAACGCCGCGUGCGGGAUGAAGGCCUUCGGGUUGUAAACCGCUUUCAGCAGGGACGAAGGUUUUCUGACGGUACCUGCAGAAGAAGCACCGGCUAACUACGUGCCAGCAGCCGCGGUGAUACGUAGGGUGCGAGCGUUGUCCGGAAUUAUUGGGCGUAAAGAGCUUGUAGGCGGUCUGUUGCGUCGGAAGUGAAAACUCAGGGCUUAACCCUGAGCCUGCUUUCGAUACGGGCAGACUUGAGGGAUGUAGGGGAGAACGGAAUUCCUGGUGGAGCGGUGGAAUGCGCAGAUAUCAGGAGGAACACCAGUGGCGAAGGCGACUCUCUGGACUGUAACUGACGCUGAGGCACGAAAGCGUGGGGAGCAAACA